CGCCCGUCGCUCCUACCGAUUGGGUGUGCUGGUGAAGUGUUCGGAUCGGCAACAGUUGAUGGUUCGCCGUCGGCUGUCGCUGAGAAGUUCAUUAAACCCUCCCACCUAGAGGAAGGAGAAGUCGUAACAAGGUUUCC
rnacentral:rRNA from 1 species